rnacentral:rRNA from 1 species
AUUGAACGCUGGCGGCAGGCCUAACACAUGCAAGUCGAACGAGUGGCGGACGGGUGAGUAAUGUCUGGGAAACUGCCCGAUGGAGGGGGAUAACUACUGGAAAAGGUCGCUAAAACCGCAUACAAACGGAUGUGCGCAGAUGGGAUUAGCUAGGAGGUGGGGUAACGGCUCACCUAGGCGACGAUCCCGAGCUGGUCUGAGAGGACGACCAGCCACACUGGAACUGAGACACGGUCCCGACUCCUACGGGAGGCAGCAGUGGGGAAUAUUGCACAAUGGGCGCGAGCCUGAUGCAGCCAUGCCGCGUGUAUGAAGAAGGCCUUCGGGUUGUAAAGUACUUUCAGCGAGGAGGCGUUACUCGCAGAAGAAGCACCGGCUAACUCCGUGCCAGCAGCCGCGGUAAUAC